UUUGGUCAAGAUAUCAAGGGCAUACGGUGGAUGCCUAGGCGCUGAGAGGCGAAGAAGGGCGCGGUAAGCUGCGAAAAGCCACGGAGAGCCGCAAGCAGGCGUUGACCCGUGGGUACCCGAAUGGGGCAACCCUCUUGGAGUUAUAUCCAAGAAACGUACACUGAAUCCAUAGGUGUACGUGGCCAACCCGGGGAACUGAAACAUCUAAGUACCCGGAGGAAAAGAAAUCAACCGAGAUUCCCCCAGUAGCGGCGAGCGAACGGGGAAAAGCCUAAACCGACCCCUCGGGGUCGGGGUUGCGGGACCUCUUGUUAGAUUCAAUGAUGUAACCGAAGCGGACUGGAACGUCCCGGCAGAGCGGGUAACACCCCCGUAGGUGAAACAUCGGCGAAUCGUAGAGGUAUCCCAAGUACCGCGGGGCACGUGAAAUCCCGUGGGAAUCCGGGGGGACCACCCUCCAAGGCUAAAUACUCCUCAGCGACCGAUAGUGAACAAGUACCGUGAGGGAAAGGUGAAAAGCACCCCGGAAGGGGAGUGAAAUAGAACCUGAACCCGUAUGCUUACAAGCAGUCAGAGCAUCUUUAUGGUGUGAUGGCGUGCCUUUUGUAGAAUGAACUGGCGAGUUGCGGUCACGAGCAAGGUUAAGGCGAGAAGCCGGAGCCAAAGCGAAAGCGAGUCUGAAUAGGGCGAUUUAAGUUCGUGGCUGCAGACCCGAAACCGGGUGAUCUACCCAUGUCCAGGGUGAAGCGGCGGUAAAACGUCGUGGAGGCCCGAACCGACCAACGUUGAAAAGUUGGCGGAUGAGGUGUGGGUAGGGGAGAAAUUCCAAUCGAACUCGGAGAUAGCUGGUUCUCCCCGAAAUAGCUUUAGGGCUAGCCUCGGGGGAAGAAUAUCGGAGGUAAAGCGCUGAUAGGGCUAGGGGUCUUACCGGAUUACCGAACCCUGUCAAACUGGGAAUGCCGAUAUUUAUCCCCGGGAGUCAGACGGCGAGUGCUAAGAUCCGUCGUCAAAAGGGAAACAGCCCAGACCGGCAGCUAAGGUCCCUAAGUGUGUGUUCAGUGGAAAACGAUGUGGCGUUGCCCAGACAACCAGGAUGUUGGCUUAGAAGCAGCCACCAUUGAAAGAGUGCGUAAUAGCUCA
rnacentral:rRNA from 1 species